UAGGUGGUUGAAGAGGGCAAAAGUCUUCAU
rnacentral:piRNA from 1 species